GAUGAAGAACGCAGCGAAAUGCGAUAAGUAGUGUGAAUUGCAGAAUUCAGUGAAUCAUCGAAUCUUUGAACGCACAUUGCGCCCUUUGGUAUUCCAAAGGGCAUGCCUGUUCGAGCGUCAUUUGUACCCUCAAGCUUUGCUUGGUGUUGGGCGUCUUGUCUCUAGCUUUGCUGGAGACUCGCCUUAAAGUAAUUGGCAGCCGGCCUACUGGUUUCGGAGCGCAGCACAAGUCGCACUCUCUAUCAGCAAAGGUCUACCAUCCACUAAGCCUUUUUUUCAACUUUUGACCUCGGAUCAGGUAGGGAUACCCGCUGAACUUAAGCAUAUCAAUAAGCGGAGGA
rnacentral:misc_RNA from 1 species